UGGGGAAUAUUGCACAAUGGGCGAAAGCCUGAUGCAGCGACGCCGCGUGAGGGAUGACGGCCUUCGGGUUGUAAACCUCUUUCAGCAGGGACGAAGCGCAAGUGACGGUACCUGCAGAAGAAGCACCGGCUAACUACGUGCCAGCAGCCGCGGUAAUACGUAGGGUGCAAGCGUUGUCCGGAAAUACUGGGCGUAAAGAGUUCGUAGGCGGUUUGUCGCGUCGUUUGUGAAAACCAGCAGCUCAACUGCUGGCUUGCAGGCGAUACGGGCAGACUUGAGUACUGCAGGGGAGACUGGAAUUCCUGGUGUAGCGGUGAAAUGCGCAGAUAUCAGGAGGAACACCGGUGGCGAAGGCGGGUCUCUGGGCAGUAACUGACGCUGAGGAACGAAAGCGUGGGUAGCGAACAGG
rnacentral:rRNA from 1 species